GGCUGCCUGUAGGGGGAGCUGCAGCGGAAGCGCAGCUCCUCUCAGGCAGUUCAAGGGGCCAUGAGACAGAGCUACGUGAGGCAGUGGCUGCUGUCUUCGGCUCCCACAGUAAUGUAAGGCGGAGAGGAAAGAAGCAAGCAGUGACCACACGGAGCAGCAAAUUCCUUAAAAAUUUGUAACCUUGCCCGCAGCUCGCUCGCCAUGCAAAGGGGACGUGCACUAAUUGUGGUUUUUGCCCAAGAAGAGUGCUAUAAAAAGCAAAGCAAAAGAGCAGCAAAAUAGAAACUACCGUCUUUACACGUUCUCAUGAAAAUCCAGCAAUUACUCUGAGGACCUGAGGAUGUUGCUUGAAUUGGAAUUAAUCUCUCUGUCUCUCUCUGUCGGCUUCUUUCCAGCCUGUGCUGCAGCUUUCCAACAAAAAUGAGUAAUAAGAGCCAUACACAGUAUAUACAGUAUUGUAAAUAGUUAUUCCAUUACUGUUACUUUUAAAUGUGUGGAGAUUUCCAUUCAAAGUUAAAUAAGCUUUAUAACCAAAGCAAUAGGACAUUGUGUAUCUCCUGUACUAGCAGAAUGACAGACUGUGGACUUACAGUCUUACAGGGCACAAAAUAAUCGGUGUCUUAGAGAGUACACAGUGGUUGAAUCAUUUUCAAUUAAUAGCUACACACAUUGUAUCAUCAUCCAGACAAGUAUAACUAUUUAUGGGCACGCCGAGACUGGAGAGAGCUGUGUUAUUCCUAUUCUUGUUAACAUACUGUAUUGAAUUGCACUGUAGCACAACUAGCCUGUCACAAUAUGUUUCCGUUUGAUGUUUAAGUACUUAAACAUGAUAUUCCGAUGUUCUCUCAUGGACAUUUACCAAGAGAGGUAAAAGUGCCAGCAAAAAUACACAUUUCUCCAACACCUCUUAACAAACAGUCCUUCUGCGAUUGUUAUGGUUUCCGCUGACCGCUAGAUGAAUCCCCAGAAUCAGACCAAUUGAGACCUUCGCCUAUAGAAAGCCACCUUUCUCGUAGCGCUCCAUAUGCUCACAGGUACUCGGCUGCCUCAGGACUUCAGGCACAGUGUAGGAGGGCCUGAGUUCCAGGAAUACGGAGAUAUCUCAGUAAAGCUAGUUAGAGGUCAGGAUAGGUAGCACACAGCAUUCCAAGGAAGGUAAACAAGGUCAAGACAGGUAGCAGACAGUGUAAUUUCAAAAACAUUUCUAAGGAUUAGGUGGUUUAGAAGACAGAGACAGGAACUGAGUGGGAGAACUGCACACCUGCCAUUUAUAGUACUGAGGAUCAAAGGGGAGCCAUUUGAAUAAUGUCCAGACUGUGUUCUUAUUCCCCAUUAUCUCUUCUAGGCAGCGUGCAGCUGGGAAGCAAAAAGGGGUGGCUCCAUGCUUGCAAGCUGCAUCUAUGACUUUGAACCACAAUAAUAAAUGUAUUAUGCAUUC